rnacentral:rRNA from 1 species
UGUGUAGGUGGCGUGCUUAGUCCGCUGUUAAAUCUCUCGGCUUAACCGAGGGGCCGCAGUAGAUACUGGCACACUAGAGGAUGGAAGAGAGAAGUGGAAUUCUCGGAGUAGCGGUAAAAUGCGUAGAUCUCGAGAGGAACACCAAUAGCGAAGGCAGCUUCUUGGUCCAUUCCUGACACUCAAACACGAAAGCGUGGGGAGCAAACAGGAUUAGAUACCCUGGUAGUCC